UACGUAGGGGGCAAGCGUUGUCCGGAAUUAUUGGGCGUAAAGAGCUCGUAGGCGGUCUGUUGCGUCUGCUGUGAAAACCCGGGGCUUAACCCCUGGCUUGCAGUGGAUACGGACAGACUAGAGGUAGGUAGGGGAGAAUGGAAUUCCUGGUGUAGCGGUGAAAUGCGCAGAUAUCAGGAGGAACACCUAUAGCGAAGGCAGCUCGCUGGUACGACACUGACGCUAAGGCGCGAAAGCGUGGGGAGCGAACAGG
rnacentral:rRNA from 1 species